UUUUGGGGGGGGAAAUUUUCCCAAGGGGUAAAAAUAGGGGGAGAGACGAUAGCGAACAAGUACCGUGAGGGAGAGAUGAAAAGCACUUUGAAAAGAGAGUUAAAUAGCACGUGAAAUUGUUGAAAGGGAAACGAUUGAAGUCCAGUCGUACCUACGGGUAAUCAACCUUUCGAGUGCGAUUCUGUGGGGUGUGAGGAGCUUAACGCCCCCCCGCGUCUGCUUAUUUGUCCCCUGGGGGUGUAUUUCCCUGUGGGUGGGUUACAACCCAUUUGGGUGUGCCAAAAAGGAUGGGGGAAAGGGUCCCUUCAUAAA
rnacentral:rRNA from 1 species